AUGCACGCUGGCGGCGUGCCUAAUACAUGCAAGUCGAGCGAACAGACGAGGAGCUUGCUCCUCUGACGUUAGCGGCGGACGGGUGAGUAACACGUGGAUAACCUACCUAUAAGACUGGGAUAACUUCGGGAAACCGGAGCUAAUACCGGAUAAUAUAUUGAACCGCAUGGUUCAAUAGUGAAAGACGGUUUUGCUGUCACUUAUAGAUGGAUCCGCGCCGCAUUAGCUAGUUGGUAAGGUAACGGCUUACCAAGGCAACGAUGCGUAGCCGACCUGAGAGGGUGAUCGGCCACACUGGAACUGAGACACGGUCCAGACUCCUACGGGAGGCAGCAGUAGGGAAUCUUCCGCAAUGGGCGAAAGCCUGACGGAGCAACGCCGCGUGAGUGAUGAAGGACUUCGGAUCGUAAAACUCUGUUAUUAGGGAAGAACAAAUGUGUAAGUAACUAUGCACGUCUUGACGGUACCUAAUCAGAAAGCCACGGCUAACUACGUG
rnacentral:rRNA from 1 species